GACGAACGCUGGCGGCGUGCUUAACACAUGCAAGUCGAACGGUGAAGGUGGAGCUUGCUCCGCCGGAUCAGUGGCGAACGGGUGAGUAACACGUGGGCAACCUGCCCCUCACUUCGGGAUAACUCCGGGAAACCGGGGCUAAUACCGGAUACGACCUCCUUGGGCAUCCUGGGAGGUGGAAAGUUUUUCGGUGAGGGAUGGGCCCGCGGCCUAUCAGCUUGUUGGUGAGGUAGUGGCUCACCAAGGCGACGACGGGUAGCCGGCCUGAGAGGGGGACCGGCCACACUGGGACUGCGACACGGCCCAGACUCCUGAGGGUGGCAGCAGUGGGGAAAAUUGCGCAAUGGGCGAAAGCCUGACGCAGCAACGCCGCGUGCGGGAUGAAGGCCUUCGGGUUGUAAACCGCUUUCAGCAGGGAAGAAGCCGCAAGGUGACGGUACCUGCAGAAGAAGCACCGGCUAACUACGUGCCAGCAGCCGCCGUAA
rnacentral:rRNA from 1 species